rnacentral:lncRNA from 1 species
GGAAUAGCUAGUCCCAUCGAAGACUAUGCUUCUGGUAACCUCCAUCUUGCAGCAGAAGAAGAGAGUAUAUGGUAAGUUCACCAAGUAACAUCGCAUAGCAUAAUCCUACCCGAUGAUCCUCCCCUUGUCGCCCUGUGAGAGAGCGAUCACAAGUUGUAUCUGGCACUUGGAAGGAUGUGUUUUAUUAAGUAUCCGGUUCUAAUUGUCAUAAGGUCAAGGUACAACUCCAAGUCGUCUUGUUACCGAAAAUCACAGCUAUUCGAAUAGAUUAACUUCCCUGCAGGGGUGCACCACAUUUCCCAACAGCUCGAUCCCCUUUGUCCGGACACACUUGUCAGGGUCAUGCCUGGCCUCGGAAGAUCAACACGUCGCAGCCCUACCUAGGCACAAUAGAGAGGUCAGCACGCCAGUCUAAAUCCUAUGGCGAAGGGGUCUGGGCCCAUCGCCCAUUGCACACCUGCACGUUGCGUACGCGGCCGGUGAGCAGACCUAGCCUCCCUUAUAAAAGAGCAGGCGUUCCAGUCCAACUCGGCGCGCGCCGCUCAGUCGCUGAUGUCACGAAGGCUUCGGCUGAUACCACGAUGUCGAGUGCCCAUAAAUGUUCUCGCGUAGUUGGUUAGUGCUCAUAGGCCAGUGGCCAGACUCAGAUCAAAUACCAAGAUCUCGUUAAGCGUGUUAUUUUAAAGUAACCGCGAACGCCGACCAGGGCCAGGCCCACCUCUCUCCUGGGUGGUCUCAACCUGCCCUGUCGCUCCACCACAAAGUAACUGUCGGGGACCGUCAGGAACCCAGGCGCACCACUACCUGGAUGGAACCACCUACCCCUUCACCCCCAUUUCUGAAUCACUUGUGGGUACUCACCGAGCCGACCCGACUUUAGUCACAACAUGUAUCACGUGUAAUAUGUAUAGUAUAUAUACCCGUGAUCACCUCCCAAGUGAUCACGGCCCGAUAGUAUAGCAUGGCAGACGGACAUGAAUGAAGGGCCAUUGAUGGAAAACUAGCAUCAUAUACUAAGCAAUUAGGAUUGCAGGUAAAGGUAACAACAGUAGUAGCAAAGACAGGCUAUGCAUCAGGAUAGGAUUAACGGAAAGCAGUAACAAGCUACACUACUCUAAUGCAAGCAGUAGAGAGAAGAAUAGGCGAUAUCGGGUUGAUCAAAGGGGGGCUUGCCUGGUUGCUCUAGCAAGUAGGGGUCGUCAACAACAUAGUUGAUCGGGGCACCAGCAGCGGCGUCAGUCUCGUAAUCUACCAGAGAGAAGAGGGGAAGAAACAAUGAAUACAAUGCAAACAGAUGAAUAACGAUGCAUGCCAUGACAAUGAGCGGUGCUAGAUGUGCCCUAACGUAGUAGGAGGCGAUACCGGCGAAGGGGGAAACAUCCGGGAAAGUAUCCCCGGUGUUUCGCGUUUUCAGACGGAUGAAUCGGAGGGGAAAGUUGUGUGUUUGCUAUGCUAGGGAUGCAUGGCGGACGAACGAGCUGCGUAUCUGGAUUCGUCUCGUCGUUCUGAGCAACUUUCAUGUACACAGUUUUUCCAUCUGAGCUACGGUUUAUUUUAUAUUAAUUUUAAAAGAUUUAAAUCAUUUUUAGGAUUAUUUAAUUAUUUUAAAUCAACAUUAUCUAGAAUAGUGUUGCUGACGUCAUCAUGACGUCAGCAGUCAACUGUGACCGUCGACUGGUCAAACUGACAAAUGGGGCCCGUUUGUCAUAGACUGUUUAAUCUAAUUAGGUUUUAAUUAAUUAACACUAGCUAAUUAGGUUAAGUAAACAUAAUUAACUAAGUUAAUUAAUUAAUCUAAUUAUUUAUUUAAUAUAUUUUUUAUUAUAUAUUGGUUUAAUCUUUUUUUGAAGGUCAGGGAACUUGGGCCUGCAUGUAAGUGGCCCAGGGGGUUUGCAGGUGCUGGGCGAAACGGGCAGCAGGCGUCUGGGCGUUGCCGAACCCGGCAGAGGGCUGCGGGGCGCCGGGGGCCACGGCGCUGGCCAGGCGGCCGGAGCGGCAGCCGCCGCGGCAAGUGGAGGCGCGGGGACGCGGGGCAGCGGUGGUCGGCGAGCAGGUGCAGCGGAGCGGAGCGGGGAGCAAGGGGGAGUGGAGCGGUAGCGCAGGUGAGCCGCGCGGUAGGGUGUGGAGCAGCAGCGCCGGUGAGAGGGGUUGCGCGGGCGGGGAGGCCACAGCACGGGCGCUGGUGACCAGCAGGCAGGGAUAGGCGGCCUCACGCGGGUGAGCGUGGCAAGGGGUGCGCAGGGCGCGCACGACGGCGGCGGCGGCCAGAGGCGGGAGCGCGCAGACGCGGACCACAAGGUCAAGGACGGCAGCGGGAUUGGCGCGGGCACGGGAACAGGACCGCGGCCUUCAACACGCCGAACUGGAGGCGCGGGUGUCUACGACGUCCGAUUCGACGGGGAAAAGAGGGGAACGGACGGCAAAGCUCACCGCGAGGGGGUGGAUGGCGAGCUUGUCGAGGGUCGGGGUGGACCGGAGUGUCUGGAUCGGGCGAUGGCGCGCGUCAGCCGCAAAUGAGGAAGAAGAUGUGAGAGACGAAGACGGGGGCGUCCCGGCUCCAAUCUGGUGAUGUAGAAGGCGUAGCGAACGACGGUGGCCCUCCUGAGCACCGAGGCGCGGCGAGGGGAAGCCGGUGGUCAUGUGAGCGACGGCGACACGCACUGGUCCUCACGGGUGAGCUCAAAUCGAAGGGGGUGAGACAAGGGGGAAGAGUAUGGGCGGACUAGGGUUCGUGGUGGAGGUGCGGGAGGCCUUGUAGCUGUCGGCGCUAUAGGGGGACGACGCCGUGUCGUCCAUCCCACGGCGCAUCGCGUGCGCG